GGAGGGGUGCCAGAGCGGCCGAAUGGGGGAGUCUUGAAAACUCCUGGGUGCGAGCCCCGCGGGUUCGAAUCCCGCCCCCUCCG
rnacentral:tRNA from 1 species